rnacentral:rRNA from 1 species
CCUACGGGGGGCAGCAGUGAGGAAUAUUGGUCAAUGGACGAGAGUCUGAACCAGCCAAGUAGCGUGAAGGAUGACUGCCCUAUGGUUUGUAAACUUCUUUUAUAUGGGAAUAAAAUGUUCCACGUGUGGGAUUUUGUAUGUACCAUAUGAAUAAGGAUCGGCUAACUUCGUGCCAGCAGCCGCGGUAAUACGGAGGAUCCGAGCGUUAUCCGGAUUUAUUGGGUUUAAAGGGAGCGUAGGUGGAUUUGUAAGUCAGUUGUGAAAGUUUGCGGCUCAAACGUGAAAUUGCAGUUGAAACUGGCAGUCUUGAGUACAGUAGAGGUGGGCGGAAUUCGUGGUGUAGCGGUGAAAUGCUUAGAUAUCACGAAGAACUCCGAUUGCGAAGGCAGCUCACUGGGCUGCAACUGACACUGAGGCUCGAAAGUGUGGGGAUCAAACAGGAUUAGAUACCCCAGUAGUC